UGAUGACGUAAGUCCAAAGAUUUAUCGCCGAGGGAUGAGCCCGCGUAGGAUUAGGUAGUUGGUGUGGUAAAGGCGCACCAAGCCGACGAUCCUUAGCUGGUCUGAGAGGAUGAUCAGCCACACUGGGACUGAGAUACGGCCCAGACUCCUACGGGAGGCAGCAGUGGGGAAUAUUGCACAAUGGGCGCAAGCCUGAUGCAGCGACGCCGCGUGCGGGAUGGAGGCCUUCGGGUUGUAAACCGCUUUUGUUCAAGGGCAAGGCACGGUUUCGGCCGUGUUGAGUGGAUUGUUCGAAUAAGCACCGGCUAACUACGUGCCAGCAGCCGCGGUAAUACGUAGGGUGCAAGCGUUAUCCGGAAUUAUUGGGCGUAAAGGGCUCGUAGGCGGUUCGUCGCGUCCGGUGUGAAAGUCCAUCGCCUAACGGUGGAUCUGCGCCGGGUACGGGCGGGCUGGAGUGCGGUAGGGGAGACUGGAAUUCCCGGUGUAACGGUGGAAUGUGUAGAUAUCGGGAAGAACACCAAUGGCGAAGGCAGGUCUCUGGGCCGUCACUGACGCUGAGGAGCGAAAGCGUGGGGAGCGAACAGGAUUAGAUACCCUGGUAGUCCACGCCGUAAACGGUGGAUGCUGGAUGUGGGGCCCUUUCCACGGGUCCCGUGUCGGAGCCAACGCGUUAAGCAUCCCGCCUGGGGAGUACGGCCGCAAGGCUAAAACUCAAAGAAAUUGACGGGGGCCCGCACAAGCGGCGGAGCAUGCGGAUUAAUUCGAUGCAACGCGAAGAACCUUACCUGGGCUUGACAUGUGCCGGAUCGCCGUGGAGACACGGUUUCCCUUCGGGGCCGGUUCACAGGUGGUGCAUGGUCGUCGUCAGCUCGUGUCGUGAGAUGUUGGGUUAAGUCCCGCAACGAGCGCAACCCUCGCCGCAUGUUGCCAGCGGGUGAUGCCGGGAACUCAUGUGGGACCGCCGGGGUCAACUCGGAGGAAGGUGGGGAUGACGUCAGAUCAUCAUGCCCCUUACGUCCAGGGCUUCACGCAUGCUACAAUGGCCGGUACAACGCGGUGCGACACGGUGACGUGGGGCGGAUCGCUGAAAACCGGUCUCAGUUCGGAUCGCAGUCUGCAACUCGACUGCGUGAAGGCGGAGUCGCUAGUAAUCGCGGAUCAGCAACGC
rnacentral:rRNA from 1 species